GUACUGUUCACAUAGUCGCAGUACAUACAAUAAAAUUGGAACGAUACAGAGAAGAUUAGCAUGGCCCUCGCGCAGAGAUGACAAAACAAUAUUGAUUGCAAUUUUA